AACGAACGCUGGCGGCAGGCUUAACACAUGCAAGUCGAGCGCCCCGCAAGGGGAGCGGCAGACGGGUGAGUAACGCGUGGGAAUCUACCCAUCUCUACGGAAUAACGCAUGGAAACGUGUGCUAAUACCGUAUACGUCCUUCGGGAGAAAGAGUUAUCGGAGAUGGAUGAGCCCGCGUUGGAUUAGCUAGUUGGUGGGGUAAAGGCCUACCAAGGCGACGAUCCAUAGCUGGUCUGAGAGGAUGAUCAGCCACACGGGGACUGAGACACGGCCCAGACUCCUACGUGAGGCGGCAGUGGGGAAUAUUGGACAAUGGGCGCAAGCCUGAUCCAGCCAUGCCGCGUGAGUGAUGAAGGCCAUAGGGUUGUAAAGCUCUUUCACCGGUGAAGAUAAUGACGGUAACCGGAGAAGAAGCCCCGGCUAACUUCGUGCCAGCAGCCGCAGUAACAC
rnacentral:rRNA from 1 species